AUUAUGAUCUGAUAUGUAACAUGCAUUCUGAUUGGUCCGUUUUGUUUGGGCUCUUCCAAUUGGCCUGUGAAAAUUUCAAAUGAUUGGCGCUAAAAGUGGAUAGAUUAAAGGCUACUAUACAAGACAGGGCGGACUACAAAAGCCGGAUUCGAGUCGUGCGAAUCUGGACCAAGCUUGCCGUUGUCCUGGAAAUAUUGCCGUAAAGUGGACGUGUUGCGGACGGGGAGGGGCUUCCGAGCCGAUUCGUCAAUCAGAUAUUUCAGGACUCGAUCGUCAGCCCCAACGAUCUCGAACUUUCUGCCAUGAAUGAUCAAAAUUGACCCUGAAGAGGAAGGACGGGAAUAAUAGGCUCUGGUGACGGCAACGUGACGGUCUUCUGCGGCUUUACCUCCUUACCCAAGACAUGUUGAAUGUAUUGUUUGGUAAAAGCGUCGCAAUCAUAGAUGUAGAACCUACAAUAGAAGAAAUUCCGUUUCUCAAUAGUGGAACAGACGUAACCAUGUCCGUGGCAUGAGAGGAAGGCCGUGUCUUUGUGACAUAUUGACACAUGACAUGCGUCCAUCCAAACCAUUUGGUGCCAUAAGAAGAGAAAAUAAUUGUUAGUAUAUAGGAGCGUUUCAUUGUGGAAAGUCCACUUUGAAGUACAUCCUUAUGAGUUUCUUUCAAAACAUCGUCGAUGAUCAACCUGAAGAAAUUUUACAGGGCCUUCGGGUGUCAAAAUAAAAUAAAAGGGCUGUUCAAAUUGCAAAAGCUACAUCAGACUCCUGACGAGACUGUCAAGGUUUUUCAAUGUCCCCAUCUCUCUCUGACGAGAAAUACGUUAUAUAACCUUUUGAUGUCCAGAUUACAUUUCUUUUUCUUUGACUCCAAGAGGAAAAUUGAACACGAUGCCUCAACUCAUUUCUACCAUGUGGCCUUUCAUCUCAGAUGAACAGGAAUGGACGACUUGCAGAUACAGAUAGCCCACGUCCUCCUCCGCAAUUGGAACUUUUCAUGAGGUCAUCAAUCGGAAAGAGUACCAGAGGAGGUAAAUUGGGACCAAAAAGACCAUGGAAGAAUGACGUCACGAACAACACCAAGACAAUGAAAAUCAAAUGAGGAGCAUGUUCGUUGUGCAUUGAUCACAAAGAAAUGAACAACCCAUUUGAAAAUUCAUCAAAUAAUUCUGGCAGAUUUUUCAACUUACCU